GUCUUUUUGGUAUUUAAUAUAAAGUCUAACCUGCCCACUGAAAGUAAUUUAAAGGGCCGCAGUAUUUUGACUGUGCAAAGGUAGCAUAAUCAUUAGUCUUUUAAUUGAAGGCUGGUAUGAAUGGUUGGAUAAGAUACAAGCUGUGUCAUGAAAAUUAAUAAUUGAAUUUAACUUUUUAGUUAAAAGGCUAAAAUAAAAUUAAAAGACGAGAAGACCCUAUAGAGCUUUAUACAAUAAUUAUUUAAGUUAUUUAGUUUUUUAAAAUUUAAUUUUUAUAUUGUAUUUUGUUGGGGUGACAAUAAAAUUUAUAAAACUUUUAUUUUUAAUUUACAUUAAUUUAUGGUUAAAUGAUCCAGUUUUAUUGAUUAUAAAUUUAAGUUACCUUAGGGAUAACAGCGUAAUUUUUUUUGAGAGUUCUUAUCGACAAAAAAGAUUGCGACCUCGAUGUUGGAUUAAGAGUAAUUUUGGGUGUAGAAGUUCAAAAUUUAAGUCUGUUCGACUUUUAAAUUCUUACAU
rnacentral:rRNA from 1 species